AGGUGGUGCAUGGUUGUCGUCAGCUCGUGCCGUAAGGUGUUGGGUUAAGUCCUGCAACGAGCGCAACCCUCGUGUUUAGUUGCCAACCGUUGAGGUUGGAACCCUGAGCAGACUGCCGGUGAUAAGCCGGAGGAAGGUGAGGAUGACAUCAAGUAAAAAUAUCUU
rnacentral:ncRNA from 1 species